rnacentral:rRNA from 1 species
AACGCUGGCGGCGUGGAUAAGGCAUGCAAGCCAAACGGGUCAUUUGCGAUUACAUCAAGAAUGACUAGUGGCAGACGGGGUAGUAACACGUAGGAACUCACCCAAGAGACGGGGAUAACUCCGCGAAAGCGGAGCUAAUACCCGAUAGCAUCGUAAGAUUAAAACACUUAGAUUGGCUCUUGGAGAGGCCUGCGGGCUAUCAGCUAGUUGGCGGGGUAAUGGCCCACCAAGGCUACGACGGCUAGGGGGAGUGAGAGCUUGGCCCCCACCAAUGGAACUGCGACACGGUCCAUACACCUACGGGUGGCAGCAGCCGAGAAUAUUCGACAAUGGGCGAAAGCCUGAUCGAGCGACGCCGCGUGCAGGACGAAA